rnacentral:rRNA from 1 species
AGCAGCCGCGGUAAUUCCAGCUCCAAUAGCGUAUAUUAAAGUUGUUGCAGUUAAAAGCUCGUAGUUGAAUUUCGGGGUCUGUCCAUUGGUCGGGCUUCACGGUCCGUACUGGUGUGACGGGUUCCUACCUUCUGAAUAACCAGCAUGCCAUUCAGUUGGUGCGCCGGGGAAGCAGAGCUAUUACCUUGAAAAAUUGAGUGCUUAAAGCAGGCUAGUGCUUGAAUAGAUUAGCAUGGAAUAAUAAAAUAGGACGGCAUGGUUCUAUUUUGUUGGUUUCUAGGAUCACCGUAAUGAUUAAUAGGGAUAGUUGGGGGCAUUAGUAUUCAAUUGUCAGAGGUGAAAUUCUUGGAUUUAUGAAGACUAACUUCUGCGAAAGCAUUUGCCAAGGAUGUUUUCAUUAAUCAAGAACGAAAGUUAGGGGAUCGAAGACGAUCAGAUACCGUCGUAGUC